AAUUGUUAUGAAUUAACCAGGAUGAUAUAUCACAUGGUAGUCAUUAACCAGUGAGGCAUGGCUGGCCCCACCCCUCUCCUCUCAUUGGGCAGGGCUUAUCUCGCAGUCACUUGACCUUUGGCCCUGCAGAUCUGUGGGUAAGAAAAUAAACACAAGCACACCCAUCACAUCUGGAGAGCAGCGUUGCUGAACAUUGAUCACUGCUCAACAAAGAUGCCUUCAGGCCAUGUGGAGAUUAGUAUGUUACCAGACACAGUUUUUCUUCUUCCUCCUUUUCAUGAUAAAUGCCCUCUCGCCCUGCCACCAAACCGCUCUAUUUUUAGCUCUGAUGUCAAAGAGGCCUGCAAGAAUCUCUGUGGGCUGCGAUUCACAUGAACGAUGAAAUCAUCACAAAGUACAGUCUCUCUUUUUCACCCCUGCGCUGCGAAAGGAGUGUGUGAAAUGGAAAUGAGUGUUGCUUUUUUGUCCUCGUGACACGAGAAACUAGGCGCUCUUGUGAACGAUGGAACGCCAUCAGAUCCGCCGAAAAACUGGAGCGCCGGUGGAGGGAGGGAGCGAGAAGAGAACAAAAACAACUCAGAGGACCAAAACAGAUUUUGACAAGAGAGAGGGGGAAAGAGAAGCAGACAGGCCAGUCUUUUGUGUGCUAGACAGACUUGUUUAGGACGAGGAGGAUUUGAUCAGCUGAUAACGUGAGUGACUAUUUGCACUGGCUGAUCUGGGCUCUGAGUUUCUGCAUCAGACGCAGAAGAAAGUGUGCAUGGUAAACAGAGCUGCGGUCCAGCGUCAGCAUCCCGUGGCUCAUUGUAUCCACAUCCUGCUCUAUACAAUCCCAGACGAUAUCGCCGAGGUAUGCGCUGGACUGCGGCCCAGAGCGAAAGCUAUGCACAUCCUCUCCCAUUCCUAAACAAAGAAAAAUGUUAAUAACAGACCUUGCUUGGACACUUAAGAACACGGGAAUGAACUUUCUUUCAUUGUUGUUUGUGCACAUCUGGAUUUCGGUAGGAAAGGCUGUGUGGCGUCUCCUCCUCUGCUGGCAGUCGGGCUCAAGUUUGUGGGAUGAAAAUAAUCCGGUGUCAUCCAGUGCAGGCCGUGGCCGAGUCAGAGAGGAUACGCGGUGCUGGGUGGAUUCACUGGAUGCUUGAGCUCAGCAGGAGCUUUGCCAGGAGAGCGUGUGUGUGGAAGAAGCUGUGGUUGCACUCUUGUGGUUGUGUAUAUGUGUGUUGGCUCUUGCUGAAAGCAUUCUGUGUCUGCGCAUUUAUGAGCGGCUUAGUGGCAAAUUGUCGAAAAAUUAAGCUUUGUGAUUUUAAAUGCACAUAUGUUAAGGUACAAUAAAAUAUUAGCAUGCAUUAAAUUGGCACAUGUUUUAAAUAAACUUUUAAGGGAACAUUUUAAAGGGAUGGUUCACCCAAAAAUUGACAUUCUUUCAGGAAAGAAGUUAUUUUGACCGUUUUUUGUCCACAGUCAGUUGGGUCAAAUUUUGUUUGGUUCCCAAUAUAUCUUCUUUUUUUGUUCCAUUCAAACUCAAAUAUGACUGUGAGAACUUUGUACCGCCCAGUAUCAAGUUUUCUCUCAUGAGAACUCCCCUCACAAGCUCAAUCGCUGACCUUUCUUCUAAAGUUUUGUUGGUCGUAACCCCAUAUGAGGGCUUCCAGCAUGGCAAAGCUAGCUAGAAUGUCCUCUAGAGAGCAAAAAAACUUGACAUUAGCGUGUGUAUUCAGCGUUUAGUGCAUCUUAGUCACUGGGAAACGUGUGAACUUGUUUACGUGUUUGUGUGUAGGUGCAGACGGGAAACUAAUGCUUUCAAAUGGACUCCUGACAUUAGUAACUCUCCACCUCGCUUCUCUCUCCGUCUCUCUCCACGUGUGUCCUGUUAAGGUGGGCGGUGUGUUAAAAAAACAGCUUUUAAACCGAGACGGUUGAGUUUGUGACUGGGCUCCCACAGUUUGUAGAUGCUAUUUUAACCGCACGGAUCCAGUAAACGUCUCCAGGUCCGUGUGCAUAAAUAACCAGCUGAUUUGUGGUUGGUUAACGGAGACGUGCCACUGAAAAUGCUCCUCAGACAUUCAUUAAGUGGUGCCUAUUUAGGGAAGUCAAACUAGACGGGUGGUGCGUAAAGUUAUAGCAGGAAACAUACCUUCAGAUCGUCUCUUUCUGAACGGAAAGGCCAGCAGUGACUGGGCCAAGUUUUGUCUGCAAAUAGCAGCACUGGUUGAGCUGGUAUUUUGAGCUCUGGCUGACGUCUGACUGCCAGAGGAUCAUUUCACAAAACUCAUACAGUGAUGUACAGUAUUACCCUUCAGUAAGGAUGCAUUAAACAGAUCAAAAGUGACAGUGAAGACAUUUAUAAUGUUAGAAAAGAUUUCUGUUCUUUUGAACCUUCUAUUCAUCCGUGAAUCC